UCCCUGAAGGUCCAGUGGUUAGGACUCAGCACUUUCCCUGCUGAGGUCCUGGGUUCAAUCCCUGGUCAUGGAA
rnacentral:tRNA from 1 species